rnacentral:misc_RNA from 1 species
GAUGAAGAACGCAGCGAAAUGCGAUAAGUAAUGUGAAUUGCAGAAUUCAGUGAAUCAUCGAAUCUUUGAACGCACAUUGCGCCCAUCAGUAUUCUGUUGGGCAUGCCUGUCCGAGCGUCAUUUCAACCCUCAGGGCCCGUUCGCGGGAACUGGUGUUGGGGAUCGGCCUCCCCCCGGAGGCCGGCCCCGAAAUGCAGUGGCGGCUCUACCGCGAUCUCCUCUGUGUAGUAGCGAUACCUCUCAGCUGGAUAGUGGUGGUGCCACGCCGUAAAAUCCCAACUUUACCAGGGUUGACCUCGGAUCAGGUAGGAAUACCCGCUGAACUUAAGCAUAUCAAUAAGCGGAGGA